rnacentral:lncRNA from 12 species
GAGAAAACCAAGGCUCACAGAAGUUAAGUAAUUUGUCUUAGGUCAUGUUAAAAAAAUAAAUUCAGUCGUAUGGAUUUAUCAUCCAGGUUUUAAAAACUAAUAAAGGAUGGGCAACCAACCAACUAAUCAAAAAUCUCAGACAAGCCAAAUCAAUGCAAACAUUGAUAAUAUCAGAGAACUCUUUAUUUAUGUUGGACAAAUGAAAAAUAGAAUUUAAGAAACCCAAGAAAACAUAAAAUCUGAAUGUGAAAAAUUCUCCCACUUCAUCAUCACUGCCAUCGGUAGCAAGCAGUUUUUAGUGACCUAAUCUCUACCAAUGUUCAUUUUUAUUCCACUGAAGCACAUGCCAGAUGGAUGUAGAAAGGGCUAAUUGAAGAAGAUUUGUUCAAUAAUCAGGCAAUUAAAAUGGGCAGGAAAAAUACAGAGUACCAGAAAAGCAAUGUGAAAAAUUCACUAGACUUUGAAUCCAGUGAAAAUGUAAAACGUAUCUAAAACAAAAAUGUCAUACAAUUUGGGCAGAGGAAGCACUUGAAGAAGAAUCAUCAAAGGAUUUAACCCCAGUGAAUUUUAUGAGACACUGUCAGGCAAAAAGGAACUGUGAUAAAAGAAGAGACAAUAAGAGUGAGAAAAAGGGUGAGGGGGAGUGAGAGUAUAUGUUGGAAAAAAAAAAAGAAGAAAGGGACUGGGCUGUGUGUAUAAUAAUGGAAAAAUGAAGCUUUUUCCUUACAGAUGGUGAUCAGCGGCCAGAGCCUUGAACACAAAGAAAGGAAGGGAUGAUGCAAUUAUAACAGAAAGUUAUUGGAUGGAUGAGAAAGCCUCACUGUGGUCAGAGUAACAGGAGGGCAAAGUCACCUUGGCAGAGGCCUUUACCCCAGUGCACAGCCAAGGAGCAGGAGACUCCAGGACUCAUGACCCUGAGCUCAAGACCUGAGCCCAAGACAUGAGCUGAGAUCAAGAAUCCGAUGCCUAGCUGACUGAGCCACACAGGAGUCCCGGAUUAGUCUCUCGUUUGAACCAAUUCAGCAACAUAUUGCAAAUAGUCACUGGAGGAUAUUAAUGGUCCAUACAUUUAAAACCAAUAAAAAGAUACAUAUGUAUCA